rnacentral:antisense_RNA from 1 species
CUUGACCGAGCCGAGCAGCAACGGGCUGUCGGCCUCGCGGCCCUGGCCGUAGGUGGCCAGCAGCGCCUGGGCCUC